ACCCCGGGGAUAACAGGCUUAUCUCCCCCAAGAGUUCACAUCGACGGGGAGGUUUGGCACCUCGAUGUCGGCUCAUCGCAUCCUGGGGCUGUAGUCGGUCCCAAGGGUUGGGCUGUUCGCCCAUUAAAGCGGUACGCGAGCUGGGUUCAGAACGUCGUGAGACAGUUCGGUCCCUAUCCGUCGUGGGCGUAGGAAAUUUGAGAGGAGCUGUCCUUAGUACGAGAGGACCGGGAUGGACAUACCUCUGGUGUACCAGUUGUCGUGCCAACGGCAUAGCUGGGUAGCUAUGUAUGGACGGGAUAAGUGCUGAAAGCAUCUAAGCAUGAAGCCCCCCUCAAGAUGAGAUUUCCCAACUUCGGUUAUAAGAUCCCUCGAAGAUGACGAGGUUAAUAGGUUCGAGGUGGAAGCGUGGUGACACGUGGAGCUGACGAAUACUAAUCGAUCGAAGACUUAAUCAAUAUU
rnacentral:rRNA from 1 species